rnacentral:rRNA from 1 species
UACGGAGGGGACUAGCGUUGUUCGGAAUUACUGGGCGUAAAGCGCACGUAGGCGGAUUUGUAAGUCAGGGGUGAAAUCCCCGGGCUCAACCUGGGAAUGGCGGUGGAUACUGGAUAGCUAGAGUGUGUCAGAGGAUGGUGGAAUUCCCGGUGUAGCGGUGAAAUGCGUAGAGAUCCGGAAGAACACCGGUGGCGAAGGCGGCCUGCUGGGCAGUAGCUGACGCUGAGGCGCGACAGCGUGGGGAGCAAACGAGG